GUGGGGAAUCUUGCGCAAUGGGCGAAAGCCUGACGCAGCAACGCCGCGUGGGGGAUGAAUGCCUUCGGGUUGUAAACCCCUUUCAGCAGGAACGAAAAUGACGGUACCUGCAGAAGAAGGCCCGGCCAACUACGUGCCAGCAGCCGCGGUAACACGUAGGGGCCAAGCGUUGUCCGGAUUUAUUGGGCGUAAAGAGCUCGUAGGCGGUUGGGUAAGUCGGGUGUGAAAACUCCAGGCUCAACUUGGAGACGCCACCCGAUACUGCUCUGACUUGAGUUCGGUAGGGGAGUGGGGAAUUCCUGGUGUAGCGGUGAAAUGCGCAGAUAUCAGGAGGAACACCGGUGGCGAAGGCGCCACUCUGGGCCGAAACUGACGCUGAGGAGCGAAAGCGUGGGUAGCAAACAGGAUUAGAAACCCGGGUAGUCC
rnacentral:rRNA from 1 species